rnacentral:rRNA from 1 species
UACGUAGGGGGCUAGCGUUGUCCGGAAUCAUUGGGCGUAAGGCGCGUGUAGGCGGUCCGGUAAGUCCGCUGUGAAAGUCGGGGGCUCAACCCUCGGAUGCCGGUGGAUACUGUCGGGCUUGAGUACGGAAGAGGCGAGUGGAAUUCCUGGUGUAGCGGUGAAAUGCGCAGAUAUCAGGAGGAACACCAAUUGCGAAGGCAGCUCGCUGGGACGUUACUGACGCUGAGACGCGAAAGCGUGGGGAGCAAACAGG